UACAGAGGGUGCGAGCGUUAAUCGGAAUUACUGGGCGUAAAGCGCGCGUAGGCGGCUUUGCAAGUCGGGGUGUGAAAUCCCCAGGCUUAACCUGGGAACUGCAUUCGAGACUGCAUUGCUAGAGUAUGGGAGAGGGAAGUGGAAUUUCCGGUGUAGCAGUGAAAUGCGUAGAUAUGCGGAGGAACACCGAUGGCGAAGGCAAUCCCCUGGACCUGUACUGACGCUCAUGCACGAAAGCGUGGGGAGCAAACAGG
rnacentral:rRNA from 1 species